rnacentral:rRNA from 1 species
UACGGAGGGUGCAAGCGUUAAUCGGAAUUACUGGGCGUAAAGCGCACGCAGGCGGUCUGUCAAGUCGGAUGUGAAAUCCCCGGGCUCAACCUGGGAACUGCAUCCGAAACUGGCAGUCUAGAGUCUUUUAGAGGGGGGUAGAAUUCCAGGUGUAGCGGUGAAAUGCGUAGAGAUCUGGAGGAAUACCGGUGGCGAAGGCGGCCCCCUGGACAAAGACUGACGCUCAGGUGCGAAAGCGUGGGGAGCAAACAGGAUUAGAUACCCUGGUAGUCCACGCCGUAAACGAUGUCGACUUGGAGGUUGUGCACUGGAGGCGUGGCUUCCGGAGCUAACGCGUUAAGUAGACCGCCUGGGGAGUACGGCCGCAAGGUUAAA